rnacentral:rRNA from 1 species
UACGUAGGUGGCAAGCGUUGUCCGGAAUUAUUGGGCGUAAAGCGCGCGCAGGCGGUCCUUUAAGUCUGAUGUGAAAGCCCACGGCUCAACCGUGGAGGGUCAUUGGAAACUGGGGGACUUGAGUGCAGGAGAGAAGAGUGGAAUUCCACGUGUAGCGGUGAAAUGCGUAGAGAUGUGGAGGAACACCAGUGGCGAAGGCGGCGACCUGGGUAGAUACUGACGCUGAGGCGCGAAAGCGUGGGGAGCAAACAGG